rnacentral:misc_RNA from 1 species
ACUUUCUACUUUCGCUUUUUCAGCAAUGAAUAACAAGGAAAACGAGACAGGCUAUAAGUUCAGCAGUGACCAAACACUUGAGAAAAUGUAUGUAUUGAUGGAAUGCAUUAGAUAUAAAGGAUACAACCAAACCUUUUCUUAUUUAUUAAAACGAUCGUGAGUCUCCCGAGGCUUCACAUAAAUCAGUGUUGCAUUGUACUAGAACAGCUAGAAAUCUGUUGUAAGUUUUAUCGAUAUGUAAAUAAUUUAGGCUGGAAGAACACCCCAGACCUGAACAAUGUGUUAUAACAUAUAUUUCAGACGUGAAAUACAAGCCGUGUUCUGUAGAGAAAGGGACUGGGACCAGUUUCAUCCACCCAGAGAUGUUCUCUUUGACAUGGUGGGGGAAGUCGGGGAGCUGGCAGAAAUCUUGUGAGUUUUUAUGGAGCUGUAAAAGUUUUAAUGUAAAAACUGAAACUUAAAGAAAUCUGAAAUGAAUAGAGUGACUGACUAAUGAUUGAUCAAUAUACAAACAGUUUUGAUACAUUCUCUUUGGAGUUCCCUUUUCUUUUAGCAGAACACCAAUUUUAUAAAUACAUACAUUGUUUGCUUUUAAUUUUUCAGUCGAUUUAAAGGACAUGUAGAAGUUGGUCUUCCUGAAUUCAGUAAGGAGGAGAGAGUUCAUGUCGGCCAGGAGAUGAGUGACGUUUUACUCAGCCUGGUCAGACUGGCAGAGAGAUGUCACAUAGACCUACCCACAGCAGUGCUACAGAAGUUCGAGCUAAACAGGGAGAAAUACCCGGUCCACAGGGCCUACGGUAAAAUCAAUAAACCUAGUACAGAGAACACCGCAGAAAAGGAUGGAAAGACAGACACUACUGGCAAAUAGAGGCAAAAUGGACAGGAAAGUUUCCAUAAAAAGACAAAAAGAACUCUUUAACAGCACAGUCUUCGUAAACAGCAAUAACAUCAGGAUACCAGAGUCGGUGAAACAUUUCCUAAAGGAAGAAACCAAAAUGUACAAAAUGAAAGGAACCAAUAACAUCACAGAGUAAGAUGUAAUUAGCCCAGUGUCAAUGGAACCAAAAUAGCAGAGAGUAGAGACAAACCAAAAUCAACACAGUAUUAGUGGAACAACAGCACAGAGUGAAAGACAGGCAGCACAUGGUACUAUGUUCUGGUAACAGUGGUCUAUUAUUUUCACAAAUUACUCAGUUAGAUAUGAAUUUUUAUUAUUAUUAAUGAUUUUUAUCAUUGAAAUAGAUAAACUAACUUCUUAGACCUACGUGUGUGACUAAUAAUUAAUAAAAAAAAAAAA